rnacentral:rRNA from 1 species
AUGUGAUCGUCUCUCGCAUAUCAAUAAGCGGAGGAAAAGAAACUAACAAGGAUUCCCCUAGUAACGGCGAGUGAAGCGGGAAGAGCUCAAAUUUGAAAUCUUAAAGGGUUUCCCUUUACGAAUUGUAGUUUAAAGAAGUGUUUUCUGUUGAGGUUUUGGUAAAAGUUCUUUGGAAUAGGACAUCAUAGAGGGUGAGAAUCCCGUAUUUGACCUUUACUUUCAACUUUGUGAUACACUUUCAAAGAGUCGGAUUGUUUGGGAAUGCAGUCCAAAAUGGGUGGUAAAUUUCAUCUAAAGCUAAAUAUUGGCGAGAGACCGAUAGCGAACAAGUACCGUGAGGGAAAGAUGAAAAGAACUUUGAAAAGAGAGUUAAACAGUACGUGAAAUUGUCAAAAGGGAAGCGUUUGACACCAGUGUUGUUUUUCUGAAAAUCAAUUAAAGAACUGUUUAUGCUAAGUUGUUUAGACUUUAUCAGCUAACUGUUUAGUUUUGAGCUUUUCUUUAAUGCACUUUUCAGUUAACAAGUCAACAUCAAUUUCUUUUACUGUAAAAAAGCUUGAGGAAGGUGGCUUGAGAUUCGUCUUAAGUGUUUAUAGCCUCUUGCCUAUGCAGUCGGAGAGAUUGAGGUCUGCAGCGUAGAUCCUUCGGGGCUAAAUGCAUUUGUGCUAAGUUAUAGCAUUUUAUAGACAACUUGUUGACUAUGAUUUGUCUUGUAGCUUACUCGCUUAUGUUAUUUUACCUACGCUUAGGAUGUUGACGCGCGUGUGUGCGUG